rnacentral:tRNA from 1 species
GGCCCAGUAGCUCAAUGCGAGAGCCUUACAAUUAUGGAUCUGUGCUGCGGGUUCAAGUCCCGUCUGGGCUG